UUCCUCUUUAUUCUGUACUUUCAGAAACCAGAAACAUUAUUUGCCAAUAUCAUAACUGGAGCUGGACAUCUUUGGAGCUGAAGAAUGAGGACAGCUUUUGUAUGCUAACGUACACUCCUUAACAGUUGUACUGGAUGAAAACACAGCAAGAAAACGCAUGCCAAUAUUGACUGAACAACAACUGCAUUUCCACCCCCAUCUCUAAGGCAUAGUAUCAUGGCUGGUCACCUGUCAAGUCACAUGUCAGGCAGACUUUGCAAUGCCUCCGUGUGCGACUACCUUGAGAAGCAGUUUGAGGGACUUUGCAGGGAAAAUGUCGUGCAGUGAGGCGUAGGGGAUUGUCUACAGCAGGACGGCCCCCAGUGGAUGGGCGCCGAGGGGUGUGGUGCUCCUCCAGCAGCUCUCUCAUGAGGUUCUCUCUGUAUUUUUGGUGGUCCACCUUCCCUGUGGCCGACAUGGUUGCUGUAUGGACAGUGGAGAGGACAUGGACGUCUCGCUUGUCAUGCCACUUUACUGCC